rnacentral:rRNA from 1 species
AUAUGGUAGUUCUUUCAGAUAGUCGAAUGACUUGGAAAAGUCAGUCAAAGAGGGUAAAAACCCCGUAGACGAAAUGUGGAAGACACCUAGGAGGAUCCUGAGUACGGCGGAACACGAGAAAUUCCGUCGGAAUCCGGGAGGACCAUCUCCCAAGGCUAAAUACUCCCUAGUGACCGAUAGUGAACCAGUACCGUGAGGGAAAGGUGAAAAGCACCCCGGAAGGGGAGUGAAAUAGAACCUGAAACCGUGUGCCUACAACAAGUCAAAGCCCGUUAAUGGGUGAUGGCGUGCCUUUUGUAGAAUGAACCGGCGAGUUACGAUUGCAUGCGAGGUUAAGUUGAAGAGACGGAGCCGCAGCGAAAGCGAGUCUGAAUAGGGCGUUUGAGUAUGUAGUCGUAGACCCGAAACCAUGUGAUCUACCCAUGUCCAGGUUGAAGGUGCGGUAAAACGCACUGGAGGACCGAACCCACGUACGUUGAAAAGUGCGGGGAUGAGGUGUGGGUAGCGGAGAAAUUCCAAACGAACUUGGAGAUAGCUGGUUCUCUCCGAAAUAGCUUUAGGGCUAGCCUCGGAAUUGAGAAUGAUGGAGGUAGAGCACUGUUUGGACUAGGGGCCCAUCUCGGGUUACCGAAUUCAGAUAAACUCCGAAUGCCAUUCAUUCAUAUCCGGGAGUCAGACUGUGAGUGAUAAGAUCCAUAGUCGAAAGGGAAACAGCCCAGACCACCAGCUAAGGUCCCAAAAUAUAUGUUAAGUGGAAAAGGAUGUGGGGUUGCACAGACAACUAGGAUGUUGGCUUAGAAGCAGCCAUCAUUUAAAGAGUGCGUAAUAGCUCACUAGUCGAGUGACCCUGCGCCGAAAAUGUACCGGGGCUAAACAUAUUACCGAAGCUGUGGAGUACACCUUUAGGUGUAUUGGUAGGAGAGCGUUCUAAGGGCGUUGAAGGCAGAUCGUGAGGACUGCUGGAGCGCUUAGAAGUGAGAAUGCCGGUAUGAGUAGCGAAAGACAGGUGAGAAUCCUGUCCACCGAAUGACUAAGGUUUCCUGGGGAAGGCUCGUCCGCCCAGGGUUAGUCGGGACCUAAGCCGAGGCCGACAGGCGUAGGCGAUGGAUAACAGGUUGAUAUUCCUGUACCCGUUGUUUUUGUUUGAGCAAUGGAGGGACGCAGGAGGCUAAGGAAUGCAGACGAUUGGAAAUGUCUGUCCAAGCAGUAAGUCUGAAGAGGAGUCAAAUGCUUCUUUUCUUAAGGACAAGCUGUGAUGGGGAGGGAAAUAAUAGUACCGAAGUUCCUGAUGUCACACUGCCGAGAAAAGCUUCUAGUGAGAAAACAGCGGCCCGUACCGCAAACCGACACAGGUAGUCGAGGAGAGAAUCCUAAGGUGAGCGAGAGAACUCUCGUUAAGGAACUCGGCAAAAUGACCCCGUAACUUCGGGAGAAGGGGUGCUGAUCAUACGAUCAGCCGCAGUGAAUAGGCCCAAGCGACUGUUUAUCAAAAACACAGGUCUCUGCAAAAUCGUAAGAUGAAGUAUAGGGGCUGACGCCUGCCCGGUGCUGGAAGGUUAAGAGGAGUGCUUAGCGCAAGCGAAGGUACGAAUUGAAGCCCCAGUAAACGGCGGCCGUAACUAUAACGGUCCUAAGGUAGCGAAAUUCCUUGUCGGGUAAGUUCCGACCCGCACGAAAGGCGUAACGAUUUGGGCACUGUCUCAACGAGAGACUCGGUGAAAUUUUAGUACCUGUGAAGAUGCAGGUUACCCGCGACAGGACGGAAAGACCCCAUGGAGCUUUACUGUAGUUUGAUAUUGAGUGUCUGUACCGCAUGUACAGGAUAGGUAGGAGCCGUAGAAAUCGGAACGCUAGUUUCGAUGGAGGCGCUGGUGGGAUACUACCCCUGCGUUAUGGCCACUCUAACCCGCACCACUAAUCGUGGUGGGAGACAGUGUCAGAUGGGCAGUUUGACUGGGGCGGUCGCCUCCUAAAAGGUAACGGAGGCGCCCAAAGGUUCCCUCAGAAUGGUUGGAAAUCAUUCGAAGAGUGUAAAGGCAGAAGGGAGCUUGACUGCGAGACCAACAAGUCGAGCAGGGACGAAAGUCGGGCUUAGUGAUCCGGUGGUUCCGCAUGGAAGGGCCAUCGCUCAACGGAUAAAAGCUACCCUGGGGAUAACAGGCUUAUCUCCCCCAAGAGUCCACAUCGACGGGGAGGUUUGGCACCUCGAUGUCGGCUCGUCGCAUCCUGGGGCUGUAGUCGGUCCCAAGGGGUGGGCUGUUCGCCCAUUAAAGCGGCACGCGAGCUGGGUUCAGAACGUCGUGAGACAGUUCGGUCCCUAUCCGUCGCGGGCGUUGGAAAUUUGAGAGGAGCUGUCCUUAGUACGAGAGGACCGGGAUGGACUUACCGCUGGUGUACCAGUUGUUCUGCCAAGGGCAUUGCUGGGUAGCUAUGUAGGGAAGGGAUAAACGCUGAAAGCAUCUAAGUGUGAAGCCCACCUCAAGAUGAGAUUUCCCAUUUCUUUAAGAAAGUAAGAUCCCUGAGAGAUGAUCAGGUAGAUAGGUCAGGAGUGGAAGUACAGUGAUGUAUGGAGCGGACUGAUACUAAUCGAUCGAGGACUUAACCAA